CCUACGGGAGGCAGCAGUGGGGGAUAUUGCACAAUGGGGGCAACCCUGAUGCAGCGACGCCGCGUGUGUGAAGAAGCGUUUCGGCGUGUAAAGCUCUAUCUGCAGGGAAGAAGAUGGACGGUACCUGACCAAGAAGCACCGACUAUCUCCGUGCCAGCAGCCGCGGUAAUACGUAGGGGGCAAGCGUUAUCCGGAUUUACGGGGUGUAAAGGGGGCGCGGAGGGGGGGGCAAGCCAGGAGUGAAAGGCGGGGGCUCAACCCCGGGACUGCUCUUGAAACUGGGCGGCUGGAGUGCAGGAGGGGGAGGCGGAAUUCCUGGUGUAGCGGUGAAAUGCGUAGAUAUCAGGAGGAACACCGGUGGCGAAGGCGGCCUGCUGGACUGCGACUGACGUUGAGGCUCGAAAGCGUGGGGAGCAAACAGGAUUAGAUACCCUAGUAGUC
rnacentral:rRNA from 1 species